CUGUUGGUGCUGGAUGGCAAGGCAUAGUUGAACAUUGGGUGUUUCUAUAUAUGUGGUAAUACCUAUUUGUUUUAUUGCUCAUCUACAAGAGGGAACUUGGAGUAGAGGGAAUCUGGACGGAAAUGCUAACAGGAACAGUUCUUCAGACGUGUGUACUGCAUUUGUUGGGAAGGCGAUAGAGGAGAAGAGACUUAAGAGAUUGAAGUUUGUCUCUAUCCUUAUAAGCUAUAAUGUUAGCUUUUUGGAUAAAACAGGGCAGCAUAUUAUAAGACUUGGUAUGAUAUGUAAGACUUGCUUAUAUUAACGUUAUGUUAUGUAUGUUGAUGAUUUAUGAAAUAAUUUUUUUUAA